CCGGUGCCCACCAGCCCCUCACGCCCAAAGCCGCGCGCGGCCCCCUGCCCGGACCGGAUCAGAAGUUUCAAGAGAAAUACAAAAGGAAGCUGCAUCUUCUUACCAAACUCAAACCCAUGCAACGGAAACUACACAGAGCAAACCUGAGACUGAAUUGAAGUUAACUACUCUCUGAGCCCCACGAAGUAGGCGCCACUAUCAUCCCAUUUCACAGAUGCUCAAGUUCAGAGUUGGUGACCCUGCCCAGUUGGGGGGCUGAAGAGCCCAGGGAGAAGGCGGGAAGGCAGCAGCCCCGAUGGCGUCGCUAACCCACCCACCAGCCAGAGCACAAGGCCUCAGCGACUUCACAGAGGACUCUAAGGUGGAGCUUCCUAGCCCCAGCACAAAGAGGGGAUACUAUUCUUCACAAGAUUUCCAUGAUCUAAAAAAUGAGAAGUCCAUUUUUCCACCAAAAAACAUUAUGUCCUAAUACGCGUAUCCAAAUGAAAUUUCUCCUACACUCUCUCAAAAAGAAGAGAUUUCAGUCUGUAAUGGAUUGCAUUCCCAACAAUAGUUUUACCAAACAAACAAACAAACAAACAAUCCAUACAGUGUUCCUCACUGUAUUUUGGAGGCAAAACUAUCAACCUAUAAUUUAGGAAGAAUUUACACGAAUUACCUGAUAUACAAAGUGGGAAUUCCAUUUCAAGUUAUUAGGAACAAGAAAAAUGUGCAAUCACUUGAAAUUGUUUUAAUAGUUUAUUCAUGCGGACAAAUGUAAGUUCUUUUCUGACUAUGUGUGUUCUUCCUCAUCAUACAGCUGCUGAUGUAAUCAAUCUUAUAAAAGUAUACAUUUCUUUAAUACAUUGUUUUAAAAUAGCUGAAGGAAAAAAAAUAAAAUAAAAUAGCUGAAGACAUCA